CCUUAGAAUGGUAGGAAUAGAAAUGACAAUAUAUGAGUGACAAAAUAUCACGAAAAUUCAAGUGAAACUACUGCAUUUAUUAAAGAGGUAAUUAAGACCGAUCAAAAUAUCGAGAUUAGAAAAAAAAUAAGGAAAAUAGAAACAACACCAAACUUUGGCAAAAAUAAACAAAAAAGAACUAACAAAAUAACAAUAAAUCUUCUCAAAACAACUGAAUAAAAGAUAUAUGCCUGACAAUCAUUCAAAUAUCAACAUUUAAAAAACAAAGAAAAUAAAUAAAAACUAAGAAGAAAAACAAAGCAAAAAAUACAAAGAAUAAUAAAAAUACAACAAAAACUUCUAUACAAGCAAAACGUAGUAAGAAAUAAAACAAAAUAGCAACAGGUAACACACACAGGUCCGCCCAACCCGUGUGUCACAAUGGCGGGCUAGCGGGUGGACGGCGGCAUUGAAGUGUUCCCGACUCGGUCAUCAUUUCCAGCGUGACCCAGAGGUGGCGGCGUCCAGUGCUGGUGUUAGGGACCCGAGCUAAGCUCUCUGUCUCCUGCCUCCUGGUCCACACUUGUCAUAUCUCUUUCAUCUGGUUGAUACACACCGCAUCUACAACAUCAAUAUUCAGUGUGUUCCACUACGCUGGUGUGGCCUUAAUGGUGACAGAGUGGCAGGCACCAGGCAGACUGAGUGAGGCUUCCUGUGGCCUGAGGAGCCUGCCCAGCUGCUGUGUGAUGGACUGGGAUUGUCUAACACAAAGUGAGCAGCAAGGGAGGACUUGGUGAAGGAUGAGGCAUAUCACUCACCUCUCUUCUGGUCCAAGCCUGCCGGUCAAUGCUUUCUUCUCAUCACCUAAAUUACUCAGACGGGCUCUUUGUGUUGGUGACCUUCCUGGCAGUCCUUUUCACUGCAACACACUGCUCCUGGUGCCUCGGUGCAGCAGUGUCUGGUCUGGCCUCCUCGGCACGCUCCACUGGCCUCGUCAGUGUGGGUCUCCUGCUGUGCAGCAAAUGUCAGCACUGCUCACACCACUGCUACAGACUUAGUGCAAGGAAGGAAAGGGAAACCACAGAAUCAGACCUCACCUAACAUCACUUGCUGUUCUCAGACUGACUGCAGGGAAGGAAAGGGACACCACAGAAUCAGACCUCACCUAACAUCACUUGCUGUUCCCCAGACUUAGUGCAAGGAGGAGGGAAAGGCACCACCAUUGCCACCAUGCCUUGAAUGUGUGUACCGCCAGUGUCCUGCUGUUCCUGCACUGCCCACACCUUGGUGAGGCUGAAUGCUGCUGCAACUCUCCUCCCCCAGGCUGACUCCCACCUGCAGGAUGAGUGUUGGGAUAUUGUGUCGAGAUAUGGAGGAAGAGGAGGAGGAGGAAAAAGAAGAAGAAAGAUAAGGAAAGGAAGAUAAAAAGGAAGAGAAGAAAUGAGAAGGAGCAGAGAAAAAAAGAAAAG
rnacentral:lncRNA from 1 species